GUUAAAAAGCUCGUAGUUGGAUCAAGAGUUCGACAGUGCCGUGGCCUGUUUGCCAUGGUGGUUCCGAUCACCAGGGCGGCAGCGGAUCAACCCCGUGCGCCAAACUGUCGACUCUAACAGACCGAAACGGUUCCCUGCGAGUAGGCUCCUUCAUUGGGGUUGAAAGCGCUUACGCAUCAACCAUAUGCAUACGGGACGUCGGUCAAAGUUACUGUGAACAAACCAGCGUGUCCAAAACAGGCUUUCGCCUGGAUGUUCGAGCAUGGAAUAACAAGGGAUCGAUUCUCUCGGUUCUUUUUGUUGGUUUUUAACCCGAGAAGGAGUAAUUCAGGCCACGGUG
rnacentral:rRNA from 1 species